rnacentral:rRNA from 1 species
CCUACGGGAGGCUGCAGUGGGGAAUAUUGGGCAAUGGGCGCAAGCCUGACCCAGCAACGCCGCGUGAAGGAAGAAGGCUUUCGGGUUGUAAACUUCUUUUCUCAGGGACGAAGCAAGUGACGGUACAUGAGGAAUAAGCCACGGCUAACUACGUGCCAGCAGCCGCGGUAAUACGUAGGUGGCAAGCGUUAUACGGAUUUACUGGGGGUAAAGGGCGUGUAGGCGGGACUGCAAGUCAGAUGUGAAAACCAUGGGCUCAACCUAUGGCCUGCAUUUGAACAUGUAGUUCUUGAGUACUGGAGAGGCAGACGGAAUUCCGAGUGUAGCGGUGAAAUGCGUAGAUAUUAGGAGGAACACCAGUGGCGAAGGCGGUCUGCUGGACAGCAACUGACGCUGAGGCGCGAAAGCGUGGGGAGCAAACAGGAUUAGAUACCCCUGUAGUC